rnacentral:rRNA from 1 species
UACGUAGGGGGCAAGCGUUGUCCGGAAUCAUUGGGCGUAAAGGGCGCGUAGGCGGCCUGCUAAGUCGGAUGUGAAAUCCCUCGGCUCAACCGAGGAACUGCAUCCGAUACUGGCGGGCUUGAAUCCGGGAGAGGGAUGUGGAAUUCCAGGUGUAGCGGUGAAAUGCGUAGAUAUCUGGAGGAACACCGGUGGCGAAGGCGGCAUCCUGGACCGGUAUUGACGCUGAGGCGCGAAAGCUAGGGGAGCAAACGGG